rnacentral:rRNA from 1 species
CCUACGGGAGGCAGCAGUGGGGAAUAUUGGGCAAUGGGCGCAAGCCUGACCCAGCAACGCCGCGUGAAGGCAGAAGGCUUUCGGGUUGUAAACUUCUUUUCUCAGGGACGAAGCAAGUGACGGUACCUGAGGAAUAAGCCACGGCUAACUACGUGACAGCAGCCGCGGUAAUACGUCGGUGGCAAGCGUUAUCCGAAUUUACUGGUUGUAAAGGGCGUGUAGUCGGGAAAGCAAGUAAGAUGUGAAAACCAUGGGCUCAAGCUGUGGCCUGCAUUUGAUACUGUUUUUCGUGAGUACUGGAGAGGCAGACGGAAGUCCUAGUGUAGCGGUGAAAUGCUUAGAUAUCGCGCAGAACCCCGAUUGCGAAGGCAUCGUACCGGCUCCACACUGACGCUGAGGCACGAAAGCGUGGGUAUCGAACAGGAUUAGAUACCCGAGUAGUC